UGCGCAGGCGGUUCAGCAAGCUCGGUGUUAAAUACCCCGGCCCAACCGGGGGGCUGCGCUGAGAACUGCUGGGCUUGAGUUCAGGAGGGGAAGCUGGAAUUCCUGGUGUAGGGGUGAAAUCUGUAGAGAUCAGGAAGAACACCGGUGGCGAAGGCGAGCUUCUGGCCAUGGACUGACGCUGAGGCACGAAAGCGGUGGGGAGCGAACA
rnacentral:rRNA from 1 species